rnacentral:tRNA from 2 species
GGGAUUAUAGCUCAGCUGGUUAGAGCACCACGUUGACAUCGUGGGGGUCAUAGGUUCGAGUCCUACUAAUCCCA